GUUAAGCGACUAAGCGUACACGGUGGAUGCCCUGGCAGUCAGAGGCGAUGAAGGACGUGCUAAUCUGCGAUAAGCGUCGGUAAGGUGAUAUGAACCGUUAUAACCGGCGAUUUCCGAAUGGGGAAACCCAGUGUGUUUCGACACACUAUCAUUAACUGAAUCCAUAGGUUAAUGAGGCGAACCGGGGGAACUGAAACAUCUAAGUACCCCGAGGAAAAGAAAUCAACCGAGAUUCCCCCAGUAGCGGCGAGCGAACGGGGAGCAGCCCAGAGCCUGAAUCAGUGUGUGUGUUAGUGGAAGCGUCUGGAAAGGCGCGCGAUACAGGGUGACAGCCCCGUACACAAAAAUGCACAUGCUGUGAGCUCGAUGAGUAGGGCGGGACACGUGGUAUCCUGUCUGAAUAUGGGGGGACCAUCCUCCAAGGCUAAAUACUCCUGACUGACCGAUAGUGAACCAGUACCGUGAGGGAAAGGCGAAAAGAACCCCGACGAGGGGAGUGAAAAAGAACCUGAAACCGUGUACGUACAAGCAGUGGGAGCACGCUUAGGCGUGUGACUGCGUACCUUUUGUAUAAUGGGUCAGCGACUUAUAUUCUGUAGCAAGGUUAACCGAAUAGGGGAGCCGAAGGGAAACCGAGUCUUAACUGGGCGUUAAGUUGCAGGGUAUAGACCCGAAACCCGGUGAUCUAGCCAUGGGCAGGUUGAAGGUUGGGUAACACUAACUGGAGGACCGAACCGACUAAUGUUGAAAAAUUAGCGGAUGACUUGUGGCUGGGGGUGAAAGGCCAAUCAAACCGGGAGAUAGCUGGUUCUCCCCGAAAGCUAUUUAGGUAGCGCCUCGUGAAUUCAUCUCCGGGGGUAGAGCACUGUUUCGGCAAGGGGGUCAUCCCGACUUACCAACCCGAUGCAAACUGCGAAUACCGGAGAAUGUUAUCACGGGAGACACACGGCGGGUGCUAACGUCCGUCGUGAAGAGGGAAACAACCCAGACCGCCAGCUAAGGUCCCAAAGUCAUGGUUAAGUGGGAAACGAUGUGGGAAGGCCCAGACAGCCAGGAUGUUGGCUUAGAAGCAGCCAUCAUUUAAAGAAAGCGUAAUAGCUCACUGGUCGAGUCGGCCUGCGCGGAAGAUGUAACGGGGCUAAACCAUG
rnacentral:rRNA from 1 species